ACGAGACCCCUGCCUGCUAAAUAGUUGGGCGAAUGAAUGUUCAUUGGCCGCAGCUUCUUAGAGGGACGUGCGUUCUAUUAGACGCAGGAAGAUAGGGGCAAUAACAGGUCUGUGAUGCCCUUGGAUGUCCUGGGCCGCACGCGCGUUACACUGAUGCACUCAACGAGUCUGCCUUGGCCGAGAGGCCUGGGAAAUCUCGUUAACAUGCAUCGUGAUAGGGAUAGAUUAUUGCAAUUAUUAAUCUUGAACGAGGAAUUCCUAGUAAACGCAGAUCAUCAAUCUGCAUUGAUUACGUCCCUGCCCUUUGUACACACCGCCCGUCGCACCUACCGAUUGAAUGGUCCGGUGAGGCCUCGGGAUUGCGAUGAGUUUCCCUCAUUGGGAGUUCGUCGCGAGAACCUGUCUAAACC
rnacentral:rRNA from 1 species